CCAAAAAGGCAGUCAUGCAAAUGAGUAAAUGAUGCCGAACGAUACAGCGGUUGUGUACAUCUUCCUCGACGACGCCAACAAGGCCGUUUCCAUGGAAGAUGUCAAGGAAUGGCUGCAGAUUAUAAACGAUGUUGUGGAGAUAAAGCUGCAAUUUGACGCGGCUACAGAACGGCCGUGCUACUAUGUGGAGUUCCGCAGCCCAGUAGCGGCGCAGCAGGCUGUGCAGUACCUCAACGGGGCACGGCUCAAGAACUGCGUCGUGACGAUACAGUCUCGUGUGUAUCUGGCGGCGGCAGAGACACAGGGGUCGGCAAGCGGCAGCGGAGAGUCUCCGUCGGCGGCCGGCGGUACGCCUCCAGUGACCCACAAGCGCUGCAGAGAGACAUCAGAGUUGCCCUUUAAUCAUUUGCUGCCGCCCGAGCUUCAGAUGGACCCGCCACUCGCGAAGUAUCUUCCCCAACUGGAGAAGAGUGAGCUGUACUCGUCAGACGCCGUUGCCAUGUGGCAGCAACUGCAAGCAGCACAAAAGGAACUGGUUGAAAUGUACCAUGACCUAGAGAUCACUGCCGCGCAGAUCGCGGAUUGUGACGCGCAGUUGACGCAGCUCCUUCACAUGAGUUGGAUAGCGCCCGCGUCCAAUGGCGUCAUGAUAUCUCAGUCGCCUUCGUCUGGGCCUGGGCGCAAGACUGUCCUGCAGGCCCCACACUUUCUUUGCCACGAGAGGGCGAUCGCGUUUGACGCACAUACCCCCAGUCGGGUCGUCGCACUACUGACGGAUUGCUUUGGCCCACUGUCGCUCUGCUCCGACGCGGUGACACAGACGGGCUUUUUUCUCGUGGUGAGGUUUGUCUUUGCUGCAGACGAGGCGCUUUUCUUGGCCGCAGCUACCGCGUCCGGGUCGACAGAGGUGACCAAGAAGAGGGAGCAGAGUCAAGGGGCGGAGUGGAGGAGCGUCGUCCAAGGACUUGGGUGGAGGCCAACAACGAGCGUCGCUCGCGUGCAUCACCUAUUCUCAGUCGAACUGGAUGCACCUCUGCAGCGUAUCGUGCGCGACCUACUAGCGUAGAUGUCGUUGCUGGAAGCAUUGCAGGAGGCACAGGUGUGACUGCUUCACCUGCUUUCACGCCGGUAGUUUCCAGGUAGUGAUGAUGGACUCGGGUACUGCGGCUGGUGUGCCGCCGCUGACGUGUGAAGUGCAGGAAAAC
rnacentral:misc_RNA from 1 species